rnacentral:rRNA from 1 species
AGAGUUUGAUCCUGGCUCAGGACGAACGCUGGCGGCGUGCUUAACACAUGCAAGUCGAGCGGAAAGGCCCCUUCGGGGGUACUCGAGCGGCGAACGGGUGAGUAACACGUGGGCAACCUGCCCUCAGCUCUGGGAUAACUCCGGGAAACCGGGGCUAAUACCGGAUACGACCUCGGGAGACAUCUCCUGAGGUGGAAAGA